rnacentral:rRNA from 1 species
GACGAACGCUGGCGGCGUGCUUAACACAUGCAAGUCGAACGGAAAGGCCCUGCUUUUGUGGGGUGCUCGAGUGGCGAACGGGUGAGUAACACGUGAGUAACCUGCCCUUGACUUUGGGAUAACUUCAGGAAACUGGGGCUAAUACCGGAUAGGAGCUCCUGCUGCAUGGUGGGGGUUGGAAAGUUUCGGCGGUUGGGGAUGGACUCGCGGCUUAUCAGCUUGUUGGUGGGGGAGUGGCUUACCAAGGCUUUGACGGGUAGCCGGCGUGAGAGGGUGACCGGACACAUGGGGACUGAGAUGCGGCCCAGACUCCUACGGGGGGCAGCAGUGGGGAAUAUUGCACAAUGGGCGGAAGCCUGAUGCGGCAACGCCGCGUGAGGGAUGACGGCCUACGGGUUGUAAACCGCUUUCGCCUGUGACGAAGCGUGAGUGACGGUAAUGGGUAAAGAAGCACCGGCUAACUACGUG